UGGGGAAUUUUGCACAAUGGGGGAAACCCUGAUGCAGCGACGCCGCGUGAUUUAGAAGGCCUUCGGGUUGUAAAAAUCUUUUCUAUGGGAAGAAAAUGACAGUACCAUAGGAAUAAGGACCGGCUAAUUACGUGCCAGCAGCCGCGGCAAUACGUAAGGUCCGAGCGUUGUUCGGAAUCAUUGGGCGUAAAGGGUACGUAGGCGGGUAAGCAAGUUAGAAGUGAAAUCCUAUAGCUCAACUAUAGUAAGCUUUUAAAACUGCUCAUCUUGAGGGAUGGAAGGGAAAGUGGAAUUCCUAGUGUAGCGGUGAAAUGCGCAGAUAUUAGGAGGAAUACCGGUGGCGAAGGCGACUUUCUGGCCAUAACCUGACGCUGAGGUACGAAAGCGUGGGUAGCAAACAGG
rnacentral:rRNA from 1 species